rnacentral:rRNA from 1 species
CACAUGCAAGUUGAGCGGAGGUAGAUGGAGCUUGCUCUAUGUACCUUAGCAGCGAACGGGUGAGUAACACGUAGAUAAUCUGUCCUAUAUUGGGGGAUAGCCCGAUGAAAGUUGGAUUAAUACCGCAUACAGCUAUAUAGUUGCAUGAUUAUAUAGUGAAAGAUUUAUUGAUAUAGGAGGAGUCUGCGGCACAUUAGCUAGUAGGUGAGGUAAGAGCUUACCUAGGCGACGAUGUGUAGCCGGUCUGAGAGGAUGAACGGCCACAAUGGAACUGAGACACGGUCCAUACUCCUACGGGAGGCAGCAGUGGGGAAUAUUGCACAAUGGGGGAAACCCUGAUGCAGCAACGCCGCGUGAGUGAAGAAGGUUUUCGGAUUGUAAAGCUCUGUUAGCAGGGAAGAGGAAGGACGGUACCUGCAGAGGAAGCCACGGCUAACUACGUGCCAGCAGCCGCGGUAAUACGUAGGUGGCAAGCGUUGUUCGGAAUAACUGGGCGUAAAGGAUGCGUAGGCGGUUAAAUAAGUUAUAUGUUAAAUAUAUAGGCUUAACCUGUAGAAAGCAUAUAAAACUGUUUAACUAGAGUGCAGGAGAGGUAAGUGGAAUUCCUAGUGUAGCGGUGAAAUGCGUAGAGAUUAGGAAGAACACCAGUGGCGAAGGCGACUUACUGGACUGUAA